AUUAUUUUAUUUGGGACAAAAAUCUUCCAGUCGACGUGGUUUUAUUUCAUAUAAUUCUCAACCAAUUUUAGAAGAUGUCGAAGACAUGGAUGUUGAUAUCAGCAAUUAUGAUAAUAAUAACAAUAAUAGUGAUAAUAAUAGUGAAGAGAACAUUGAUAGCAAUGAUAAAAACUAUAAUAAUAAUGGUAAUGAUAGUAAUAAUAAUGUCGGAGAGUUUGAUAACGACAAUGUCAACUAUUAUUGUGCAGUUGAGACUGAUGAUGUUGCUAAUCAUAAAAUAUCAAGUCAUCCAUCUCAAUUAUCCCAGAAAUCUUUGAAAAGUAAUACUUCUCGUAUAAUCUCUGAUUAUGAAGAUGAAAUGCCAAAACAACAAGUUCCAAAAAUUGAUAUAAUGACACCAGAACUUGCUGCGGCUUUGGAUAGAGCUAACGUGACUAGUAGGAUGGCGACUUACAUUAUUGCUGCUUUAUUAUCUUGCUUGAACAUUGAUUAUGCAAGCGUAAACUUUAGUCAUGUGACUAUUCACCGAGCAAGGGAAAAAUUCCGGAAAGAAGCGGCGUUAAAUCUGAAGACUAAUCUGGAAACUGACAAUUAUGUACUACAUUUUGAUGGAAAACUGUUAUCAGAUAUUACAGGUACAGAACAAGUUGACCGGCUUCCGAUUAUUUUAUCAUCAUCAGGUAAAUUUCAACUGUUAGGAGUUCCUAAACUAGAAUCUGGGACUGGACAAAACCAAGCUUCAGCUAUUAUUAAAACAGUAAAACAAUGGGAUAUUAAUACUGACAACAUCAAAGCAUUGUGUUCUGAUACUACGGCGUCAAAUACGGGAAUCAGAAAUGGUGCAUGUGUAUUAGUAGAAAAGGCUCUUAGUAGAAAACUGUUGUACUUGCCAUGCCGACACCAUAUUUUUGAAAUUGUUCUUCGAAGUGCAUUUGAAGUAUACUGGCCUGCUUCGUCUGGCCCAAACGUUCCAAUUUAUCAGAGAUUUAAAAAGAAGUGAAAUGAAAUUGACCAAUCAAACUUUACGGCUGGUAUUUGUGACAAAAAAGUUUUGGAAGUAAUAACACCAAUCAAAGAUGAGAUUUUGAAAUUCGUUAAUAAUCAAAUAGAAAUGGAUCAUUGUCGAGACGAUUACCGUGAACUUCUGGAAUUAUCAUUAAUAUUUUUGGGUACGACUACCACAAAUAUUACAUUUAAGCAUCCUGGAGCGGUCCAUCAUGCAAGGUGGAUGGCUAAAGCAAUAUAUAGUUUAAAAAUUUUUUUAUUCAGAAAUGAAUUUCAUCUUACUAAAUCGGAAAUAGAUGGAUUACGAGAACUUUGUUUAUUUAUCAUAAUAUUCUAUUUAAAAGCUUGGUUCACUGCGCCGUGUGCUAUAACAGCACCUAAUAAUGAUUUAACUUUGAUUAAAGAAUUAAUUUCAUAUGAAAGAUUUAAUAAUAGUCUUUC